rnacentral:rRNA from 1 species
AAUUUUGGACAAUGGGGGAAACCCUGAUCUAGCCAUCUCGUGUGUAUGAUGAAUGCCUUCGGGUUGUAAAGUAUUUUUGGCAGAGAAGAAAAGGUAUCUCCUAAUACGAGAUACUGCUGACGGUAUCUGCAGAAUAAGCACCGGCUAACUUCAUGCCAGCAGCCGCGGUAAUACGUAGGGUGCAAGCGUUAAUCGGAAUUACUGGGCGUAAAGCGUGUGUAGGCGGUUCGGAAAGAAAGAUGUGAGAUCCCAGGGCUCAACCUUGGAACUGCAUUUUUAACUGCCGAGCUAGAAUAUGUCAGAGGAGGGUAGAAUUACACGUGUAGCAGUGAAAUGCGUAGAUAAGUGGAGGAAUACCGAUGGCGAAGGCAGCCCCCUGGGAUAAUACUGACGCUCAGACACGAAAGCGUGGGGAGCAAACAGG